UACGUAGGGGCGAGCGUGUUCGGACGUGACUGGGCGUAAAGCGCACGCAGGCGGUCUGCUAAGUUUGGAGUGACAGUUGGUGGCUUAACUGCCAAAGUGCUUCGAAAACUGACAGACUUGAGGGCUUCAGAGGGACACGGAAUUCCGGGUGGAGUGGUGAAAUGCGUAGAGAUCCGGAGGAACACCAAAGGCGAAGGCAGUGUCCUGGGGAGUACCUGACGCUCAGGUGCGAAAGCCAGGGGAGCGAACGGG
rnacentral:rRNA from 1 species